UGGACAACACAUUUCCCACCUGACAGAGAUCUGUGUUAGCACUGGCUUUACUAACCUAAGUGUUGAUCGCCACCUUACUGAAGAAAGUAGUCUUACAAAUUAUCAUGAGAUUAAAGUCUCAUGGUAAAAAUAUUCUUUCCAAAAACCAAAUGUAGAGGCUCAAAAACAAAACUUUGGCCUAUACUAAAAUAAUAUGGGCUAAUUUGCAUACACACAUACAAGUACAGAGAAAGAUGUAUAGCUUCAGUUUUGCAAAUUUCAGUUUUCAAUGUUUUUCUGAAAAUUGCAGGAGGUUAUAGGUUAGUCUGAGGAUAGCAACUUUUUUAAUUCAUUAUUUUUAAUCACGAAGUAUUCAGUUUCUAUAAAAUCAACUUUAGUUUAAGAAGAUACCAUGUGUUCCCACAAGGGCAGAGUUUUCCCCUCAUCUACAUCAGGGUGGAUUUCUGCAGCAUAAUUAUACUGAAAUUUUAUUUUAACCUUCUGUGUGUUAGCAUAUUUCUGUUAAUAAUAAACAGGUUGAAUCAGGGUACGUGAAAUUGUUGGGUUCUCAGUGAUAAUGGCAAGCUCUAAUUUGUGUGCUGCAGUGUGCUAAAGUGGUUUAUGCACAUGACAUUAUUCUUUGAUGAUGAAAUGGUUCUGCUCGUGUUUCAUAAUUCUGAUACCAUGUUUAAUUAAAACAGCACAUGAUAUUGAUGGGUUCAUGAAAAUGGCCAACACUUACUCUGUGGAGUUGUCACUGUUUCCUUACAUUUUUCAGGAAAUCCUUCCAUCUCUGCAGUCACGUGGCACUGGUCCAUCCGCACACUGUUUUGUCCUCACCCACCUCACUGAAUCUGAUGGACACUGUACAGUCGCAGUCUCUUUGUGCAGAAUUGGCAGCGAUGCCUGUGCUUGAUCAUCCCUGUUUAUAAGAAUCCAGCUUCUGGUCUCUGUUCUCAUUAACCGCAUAUUGCAUUAUAGAAUGAAAAAUAAGAGAGACUAAUUAGAGAGAGGAAGGAAGACUUAUUUUGCAUCCUGAAUGAAAAAAUAUAUAUAUAUAUAUUUAGACAGUGUAAACAAACAACUGCUGCAGAGUGUCCUGUGUGUAAUAGUGUCUGGUGUGUACCUGUGUGCUGUGCUAAAUCAGGGGACCCUUUCUGUCUCUUGUCCAUGGUGUCUAUAUCCAGUGACAAGUGUCUGCUAUGUACCUUUUGCAAUGGACUUCAUAAACUGCAUUCUCUAAACCUUUUUUUUAAACAAUUUCAUGAACAAUUUCAUAAACACUGAAGUAUUAACAGAUUAUAUGAGUCAGAGUAUUGAGCUGAGAUAGCUUCUAAUUGAACUUAAUUUUAUAUUUAAGUUUUGAAUUUAUCACAAAAUACACCAUAGCUGAGAAAAAAACAAUUAUGAAUGCCUUCUGCAUGUUCGUUAUUUCUAACAGACAUGGUGCAAUUUUUUAAAUACAGAAAGGUGUAGGGUUAGAAUGGAUGUGUCUGCACUCAUCUCUGUUGUCUGUCUGUCUUUAUAUUCACACUGUACAGUAAGACUUAAAGUUCUAAGUUUCAUGCUAAGUAAAAGGAUGACCCGAUCUUGGGCGGAGAUACUUAGUUUUGUUAGCUCCCAGUGGAGGCCGGCAUUUGCCCUUUUACCUUUUACCAUAUACUUGGAAAUGUGUAUCUGGAAUUAACUACUAGAAAAUGUAUGAUUAUGUUCCAUGUUUUUGGCCCCUGGAUUCAAAUCCCUACAUUUGGUAGAUUUGGGUAAAUUUUGCUGUUUUUAAAGCAUCUUUUAUGUAAAAAGAUUACAUUUUUAUAAUAAAUGGCAAAUAAGAUG
rnacentral:lncRNA from 1 species